rnacentral:tRNA from 1 species
UCCGAGUUAGCCAAGUGGUAAGGCAGUGCACUGUUAAUGCACUCACCGGAGGUUCGAAUCCUUCACUCGGAGCCA